UUGUUGACGGCUCCGCUAGUGUGCCUAUUACAUUAUAAAAAAAAAACAUGUUUCCUUCUGUAAAUGUUCAUAAACUGCAGCCUUUAUUAGUUUUCAUUAUACUAUUUAUAUUUAUGAUUAUGGCGAUAUAUUAUGUACAAUGCGUCACAAUUCAUUGAAUCAUUUAAAUCUACGAGCAGACAAUAAUCUGUAUUACUCACCCAAUAAACCCAAUAGACACAGGUACAAGGUAGACAUGAGCCUGUGCUUUGUACCGCCGCGCCGGUAAGCAUUGACUCCGCUAAUAAGCAGAAUAUUAUGCAUAUCAAUCACAUUUAUUCGAUUCAAAACUAAAAUAAAACAUUCAAAAUUUAUCUCCCCCGAGGAAGCAAAAUCCUACAUGUGUCCGCGAUGCUUACUAAUAGGUACAAUAAUAUUACUAACUGAUACCUGCAUUGAACACUACGCCUACUCGAAAACGUCAAUAUACAGUAGAGACGUUUAAAGAAAACAAACUACUUUUACAUUAUUAGCGCUAUUUUAUGAGCGUCAUGUGUAAUUCAGAACCUAUAUUGGAGCUUCGUACGGAGUGACCUUCUUCAGCUGUUUUUACGUAUUCUACGAAUUGUGCUGUGGCCGCGUCCUGAUCCAGACGAUCGUCGAGGCGUGUUCCCGUCCUAGGCUGCGACAGCAAAAAGUCUGAAGCGCAGAAGGAGUUGGACCCGCGAAGCCAGGGGUGUGGCCUUUAAUUUCGGGGACGAGUAAGGAUGUGAGACCGAGGGCGAAACCCACAACCACAAACUUUAUUUUUUAAUAUUAUAUAUUUAUUUUUGAUAA